GUUGCUUCUUAAUGGUGAACUCUUUCUUUAUUGUAACGGGAGAGUUCAAGUUUCCCGAAGCAUAGAUGAAAUUGACAGUUUUAAACAGCUCGAUGUUCUUUAAUCUGUGGCAUUGUGCUACCUGUCUGCUGCUACAUUU
rnacentral:snoRNA from 1 species